rnacentral:pre_miRNA from 1 species
UGCUCUGGAUUAGGCUUUGGCUUAAGGGAAUGUUGUGGCUGGUUUGAUCUUCUACCCAGAGCACCAAAACUUUUCCAUAUCAGC